AAUGAACGCUGGCGGCGCGCCUAAUACAUGCAAGUCGAGCGAGAAGACGUAGCAAUACGUUUGUAAAGCGGCGAACGGGUGAGGAAUACAUGGGUAACCUACCCUCGAGUGGGGAAUAACUAGCCGAAAGGUUAGGCUAAUACCGCGUACGCUUCUUGGACUUCGGUUUCAGGGAGGAAAGCGAUGCCGAGGGUAUCGCGCUCUUGGAUGGGCUCAUGUCCUAUCAGCUUGUUGGGAGGUAACGGCUCACCAAGGCUUCGACGGGUAGCUGGUCUGAGAGGACGAUCAGCCACACUGGCACUGCGACACGGGCCAGACUCCUACGGGAGGCAGCAGUAAGGAAUAUUGCGCAAUGGGCGAAAGCCUGACGCAGCGACGCCGC
rnacentral:rRNA from 1 species